rnacentral:rRNA from 1 species
UGGGGAAUUUUGGACAAUGGGCGCAAGCCUGAUCCAGCCAUGCCGCGUGAGUGAAGAAGGCCUUCGGGUUGUAAAGCUCUUUCGGACAGAAAGAAAUCGGUUGGGCUAAUACCCCAACUGGAUGACGGUACUGUAAGAAGAAGCACCGGCUAACUACGUGCCAGCAGCCGCGGUAAUACGUAGGGUGCGAGCGUUAAUCGGAAUUACUGGGCGUAAAGCGUGCGCAGGCGGUUACAUAAGACAGAUGUGAAAUCCCCGGGCUCAACCUGGGAACUGCGUUUGUGACUGUGUGACUAGAGUACGGCAGAGGGGGGUGGAAUUCCUGGUGUAGCAGUGAAAUGCGUAGAUAUCAGGAGGAACAUCGAUGGCGAAGGCAGCCCCCUGGGCCUGUACUGACGCUCAUGCACGAAAGCGUGGGGAGCAAACAG